rnacentral:misc_RNA from 1 species
GAAAAGGGACUCCGGUCCCUGGGACAAGCCCCCGCCGAGCCCCUGGGCUCCCCGGGUGGUGACACCCCUUACCCUUUGUUUACCUUACCUCUGUUGCUUUGGCAAGGCUCCUGCCCGGGUGGUUCCGGGCUUCAGCUCUGCCAGAGGGCCCCAACUCGUGGAUAGUUUAUGUUUGUCUGAGUACGAUAUAAUCGUUUACAACUUUUAACAAUGGAUCUCUUGGCUCU